rfam:Streptomyces pratensis ATCC 33331, complete genome.
AGAUGAGAGAAACACCCCGCCCGCAGGGGACUGCGGGUGAUGCCGGUCCGGGGCUCCCCCAGCGCCGUACCGGCCGUGCCAUCGCGCACACCGCUGGAGCUUCGGGCUCCGGGACUCCUCACCGAUCGGA